GGUGUACAGAUGCAUCCCAUUAAAUAUUUAAUCUCCUGGGCUCCAGAGCUGGGCUGACAUGUUCCCUUUGGCCAAAAGCAGGUUUCUCGGGUUAGCUGCAUGCAGCACUUGUUCUGCUAGUUUGUCUUCAAAAGAAAGAGAUGGAGCGCCUUCUAGAACGUGUCAUAUUCGAGUGGGGAUCCUAGCUGCAUUGGCUCCUGACAUACUCUCCAAUAUGAAGUCUUGAACUUCUUGCUCCAAAAGUACCCACCACAGACAGCAAAUACUGGCUCAUGGAUCAUGCCCUGUUAACAUUCUGAGCAGACCUUCUGCACACUUGGGACCUGUUAUUUACACUUUAACCUGGCUGCUGGAAAUGCUGAAGAGUGUCUGGUAUCAAGUGAUGUGGAUGCUCUUUAGAGUCACGGCUACGGGCUGAUUCAUACGUCAUGAAUUAUUUUAAUGAAGAUUACAGGAACCCUUGAACUAAGGAGAGCUAGAAGAAGAGCCACAUGAGAGAUACCCUGCAAAAACCAAAGAUCCUGAUGCUAUAUAACGAAUCCAUGAGAAAUUGUCUGCUACCAGAACUUCAGGAAAAUUUCACCAUCAAUACUGUUGCUGAUGAACAUUUGAGAGAACUGACCAUCCACAGAAACAUCCUGGCACGAAGUACUCUCCAAUUAGCUUAACUUCAGGAUAACAAUGAAAAAACUUAAUUCUAUGCAUUGAUUUCACCACAGAGGAAAUACCCUGAAAACUCUGACUAGAUGACCCAAUAUCACUAUUAAUACUGUCAUAUCAUGGAAUUCAGUGUGGUUAGACAGCAGGAAGUGAAAUUUAAAUGCUAAAUUGAGAGCAUAUUCAUUAAGACAUACAUACACCACUCCAUACAUAAUGGUUUUAGAAUUAAUUUAAAGCAUGUCUUGGCAUUGAUUGAUACUAACUCUCUGGGUUUCAAUUGAUAGAAACAGCUU